UCGCAGCGCUGCGGUGGGGCGGGGCGCGGCAGGGGGCGCCGGGGGGGACGCAGUGGUGCGCGGAGAUCCCUGACCUCGGGGCCCGGCGCGUCGUUGUGACGUAAUCGCUGCGCGACAGCGGCGAGGAGCGGGGUCACGCGGAAGGCGGAGUGACGUCAGCGCCGGAGUGACGUCGUCACGGGAGUUGCGUCAUCUCGGUGACGUCACCUCGCGCCAUGUGGCGGAGCUGCGGGGCGGGGGUGCGCGCGGUGGUGGCCCACGGGUUGUGCCGGGUCCCCCCCACGGCUCUGUGCUCGGUGUCCCCGCAGGACUUGGCUGUCCCCAAUGCUGGGUGGAGCGUGGCCAUGCGUGAGCAGUUCCAGCAUCUGCUGCGCCGUGCUGCUGACGGCUCCUGGCGCCGCAUCCCCUCCUACCGCCGCGGCCUCGACCACCUCCCAGAGGUGCUGCAGAUGGUGGUGGGGCCGGUGACGGGACCGGGGCCACGGCUGUUCCUGCGCAACCUGGACGCAGAGGGUGCUGGCUUUGAGUACGCCAUCUUCCUGCACGCCUCCGGCCACCGCACGCAGUGCCUGUGCCAGCUGGGACCCUACCUGGAAGGCCACCAUGGCUUCGCACACGGUGGUGCCAUCGCCACUCUCAUUGACACCACGGUGGGGACGUGCGCACUGGCGGUGGCCAAAACAUCGGUGGUGACGGCCAAGCUGAGCAUCAGCUACCUGGCCCCCACACGUUUGUCCCCUCCUUGUCCCUCAGCCCCAUGCCAGUGGGUGCUGUGGUAGUGGCCGACAGCUGCAUGGAGCGGCACGAGGGACGCAAGAUCUUCCUUUCCUGCCAUGUGCGUGACACCAAAGGGGACACGCUGUACGCCGAGGCCACUGCGCUCUUCAUCCAGGUGGAGGACACCAAGCCCUCCCUGGCUGCCUGUCCCUAGCAGUGACGCUGUAACGCUGGAGGGGGGUGGCAGUGUGGUGUCCCUGUGUCACCUUCUGGGAUCAGAGCGUGGCACUGCAGUGA